CACGUAGGGGGCGAGCGUUGUCCGGAAUUAUUGGGCGUAAAGAGCGCGUAGGCGGGGUGUCGCGUCGGCCGUGAAAACCUGCAGCUUAACUGUGGGCUUGCGGUCGAUACGGGCAUCACUGGAGUUCGGCAGGGGAGACUGGAAUUCCUGGUGUAGCGGUGAAAUGCGCAGAUAUCAGGAGGAACACCGGUGGCGAAGGCGGGUCUCUGGGCCGAUACUGACGCUGAGGAGCGAAAGCGUGGGGAGCAAACAGG
rnacentral:rRNA from 1 species